UACGGGGGGGCAAGCGUUGUUCGGAAUUACUGGGCGUAAAGGGCUCGUAGGUGGCCAACUAAGUCGGACGUGAAAUCCCUCGGCUUAACCGGGGAACUGCGUCUGAUACUGGAUGGCUUGAGUUCGGGAGAGGGAUGCGGAAUUCCAGGUGUAGCGGUGAAAUGCGUAGAUAUCAGGAAGAACACCGGUGGCGAAGGCGGUCUGCUGGGCAGUUGCUGACACUGAGGCGCGACAGCGUGGGGAGCAAACAGG
rnacentral:rRNA from 1 species